GACAGAGGGGGCAAGCGUUGCUCGGAAUCACUGGGCGUAAAGGGCGCGUAGGCGGGAUGGCAAGUCGGUCGUGAAAUCUCUCGGCUCAACCGAGAAACGUCGGCCGAUACUGCCGUUCUUGAGGGAUGCAGAGGAGACUGGAAUUUACGGUGUAGCGGUGAAAUGCGUAGAUAUCGUAAGGAAGACCAGUGGCGAAGGCGGGUCUCUGGACAGUUCCUGACGCUGAGGCACGAAGGUCAGGGGAGCAAACGGG
rnacentral:rRNA from 1 species